rnacentral:rRNA from 1 species
UCCUACGGGGAGGCAGCAGUGGGGAAUAUUGGACAAUGGGCGCAAGCNUGAUCCAGCCAUACCGCGUGGGUGAAGAAGGCCUUCGGGUUGUAAAGCCCUUUUGUUGGGAAAGAAAAGCAGCCGGUUAAUACCCGGUUGUUNUGACGGUACCCAAAGAAUAAGCACCGGGUAAAUUUGUGCCAGCAGCCGCGGUAAUANGAAGGGUGCAAGCGUUAUUCUGAAUUAUUGGGGGUAAAGCGUGCGUAGGUGGUUGUUUAAGUNUGUGGUGAAAACCCNNGGNUCUACCNGGGAANGGCGNUNGAAACUGGGCGAGUAGAGUGUGGCAGAGGGUAGUGGAAUUCUUGGUGUAGCAGUGAAANGUGUAGAGAUCAGGAGGAACAUCCGUGGGGAAGGGGNGUUCCUGGGCCAACACUGACACUGAGGCACGAAAGNGUGGGGAGCAAACACGAUUAGAUACCCCGGUAGUGCACGCCCUAAANGAUGCGAACUGGAUGUUGGGUGCAAUUUGGCACUCAGUAUCGAAGCUAACGGGUAAGUCNCCGC